rnacentral:lncRNA from 1 species
AUGGCUAAUGCACGUAAUUAAGUACGGGGUGUUACAGAUUCCUAUCGUGUUUUAAGAGUAAGCUAUAGUAUUAUGUGCUUCCGGCUAGGUUGAGCUAUAAGCAAAUCAGCAAACGUACCGAUUCAUGGUUAAGAAAGUUGCAUCACCUUUGAUACCUAAAUUCUUUCCCCAGAUAAGUUGUCUGUAUCUUCAUUUUUCCUGUGUAAUCUUAUUCUUGGUUAAUAACUGAUUUCAGUAAAAGAGUCUGCUCUAGUAAUCUCCAAUUAUAGAAGUGACAUUGACUGACUUGUUGGAUGGGUUCUAGCUCAGGUGCUUGUCUACUUCAAAUUAAGUUUUUCUAUUUCCUGAAGCAGUGAAUUGUUGCUUUUUCUUGAUGCAUUCAAAAUCCCCCUUUUUUAUGCUUCCAUUUCUUAAGUGAAGAGCCUACAAGUUGUAAUGAAAGGUUGAGAAACUCCCUAGAGCAUAUCGUAACAAAGUGAUCACUAUCUACUCUCAUUCAUUUGAUAAGUUUAAAAAUCCGCGCAUUAUAGGAAAGUAAGUUGUUAUAUUUUCACUCAUUAAAGUACUUGAAUUUUUCACCUUAGUUAGACAUUUUAAUCUUGAGAUUAAAGAAAAAAUUUAGUAUCUUUUACUUAUUUAAAACUUAUAAUAGUUGCUAUCUUCCAUUUCAUCCUUCCUCUCUCGGUUCUCGCUCCAUCUGAUCUUAUGCUUAAAACUAUCUCUGCGGAAAGCAUAUACAGUAAAAUUACUGCAUCCAAGAUCCGACUACAAAUUAAUUUAUUUCUCUGUUUCUUUUGUUCCAAAAAAAUAAAAGAAGAUUUUAAACAAGAAAUUCUGCUAUGUUUAUUCAUUACUUUUUAGCAAUCAAUGACAUCCAUACAUCCAAAAACAGACAACAAAGCUACACAAGAAUAAGAAAUAAUCUCAUAUUCUAACAAAAAAAUACACACAAACGUCACCACAAUAAGCUUAAAAAAAAGAAGGAAGCACACAUAAAUGAGAAGAAUUUUUUUUGAAAAAAAAAUGGUAUUCAAGAAUUUCGCAUUUCAACUUGUAACAGUAGAAAAAUAAGUUAAUUAAAAAAAAUAAAAUAAUGGGUAUUCAAGAAUCCAUUUUAUGCCUUUUAACAUAACAACACAAAGAAAUCAAUAAAAUAAGCCUUUUUUUUUUUAAAAAAAAAAAGUAGAGAGAAAGGUAAUCAAUAAUCUCACUUUCCAACUUAUAACACCACAAAAAGAAAAACUUAAUUUCAUCGAGGGGGGAAGGUUGAAAACAGAUUAGGAAGAAAAUUACCUAUGCGGCUUGUUGAGGAUGAUUGAACAAAUAGCCGAUUAUAAGUAAAAUGGUGCUCUUAUUUAUACAAUUCAAGUGCAGAAAUUUCUGUAUUCUAGAAAAGUCUUUCACUUCAUUUUUGUAGUAAUAAUGGAAUACAGAUGGUUGGUUCUUAGUUUAUAUGUGGCAGAGAAAGCUUGAAAUAUCCUAGAUUUU